CCUACGGGUGGCAGCAGUAGGGAAUAUUGCUCAAUGGGGGAAACCCUGAUGCAGCAACGCCGCGUGGGGGAUGAAGGUUUUCGGAUUGUAAACUCCUGUUGUUAGAGAAGAUAGUGACGGUAUCUAACGAAUAAGCACCGGCUAACUCCGUGCCAGCAGCCGCGGUCAUACGGAGGGUGCAAGCUUUACGCGGAAUCACUGGGCGUAAAGAGCGCGGAGGCGGGAUAUCAAGUCAGAUGUGAAAUCCUAUGGCUUAACCAUAGGACUGCAUUUGAAACUGUGAUUCUAGAGUAUGGGAGAGGUAGGUGGAAUUCUUGGUGUAGGGGUAAAAUGCGUAGAGAUAAAGAAGAAUACUCAUUGCGAAGGCGACCUGCUAGAACAUAACUGACGCUGAUGUGCGAAAGCGUGGGGAGCAAACAGGAUUAGAUACCCUAGUAGUC
rnacentral:rRNA from 1 species